CCUACGGGGGGCAGCAGUAGGGAAUAUUGCUCAAUGGGGGAAACCCUGAAGCAGCAACGCCGCGUGGAGGAUGAAGGUUUUCGGAUUGUAAACUCCUUUUGUUAGAGAAGAUAAUGACGGUAUCUAACGAAUAAGCACCGGCUAACUCCGUUCCAGCAGCCGCGGUAAUUAGGAGGGUGCAAGCGUUACUCGGAAUCACUGGGCGGAAAGAGCGCGUAGGCGGGAGAGCAAGUCAGAUGUGAAAUCCUAUGGCUUAACCAUAGAACUGCAUUUGAAACUGUUAUUCUAGAGUAUGGGAGAGGUAGGUGGAAUUCUUGGUGUAGGGGUAAAAUCCGUAGAGAUCAAGAGGAAUACUCAUUGCGAAGGCGACCUGCUAGAACAUAACUGACGCUGAUGCGCGAAAGCGUGGGGAGCAAACAGGAUUAGAUACCCCGGUAGUC
rnacentral:rRNA from 1 species